GCCAGUGUGGUGUAGUGGGUUGAGUGCUGAACUACAAUCCUGGAGACCAGGGUUCGAUGCCCAGCUCUGCCA